CCUACGGGGGGCUGCAGUGGGGAAUAUUGGACAAUGGGCGAAAGCCUGAUCCAGCCAUGCCGCGUGUGUGAAGAAGGCCUUCGGGUUGUAAAGCACUUUCAGUGGGGAAGAAAGCCUUGGGGCUAAUACCCUCGAGGAAGGACAUCACCCACAGAAGAAGCACCGACUAACUCCGUGCCAGCAGCCGCGGUAAUACGGAGGGUGCGAGCGUUAAUCGGAAUUACUGGGCGUAAAGCGCGCGUAGGCGGUCUGAUAAGCCGGUUGUGAAAGCCCCGGGCUCAACCUGGGAACGGCAUCCGGAACUGUCAGGCUAGAGUGCAGGAGAGGAAGGUAGAAUUCCCGGUGUAGCGGUGAAAUGCGUAGAGAUCGGGAGGAAUACCAGUGGCGAAGGCGGCCUUCUGGACUGACACUGACGCUGAGGUGCGAAAGCGUGGGUAGCAAACAGGAUUAGAUACCCUAGUAGUC
rnacentral:rRNA from 1 species